rnacentral:rRNA from 1 species
GUGCUGCAUGGCUGUCGUCAGCUCGUGUUGUGAAAUGUUGGGUUAAGUCCCGCAACGAGCGCAACCCUUAUCCUUUGUUGCCAGCGGUCCGGCCGGGAACUCAAAGGAGACUGCCAGUGAUAAACUGGAGGAAGGUGGGGAUGACGUCAAGUCAUCAUGGCCCUUACGACCAGGGCUACACACGUGCUACAAUGGCGCAUACAAAGAGAAGCGACCUCGCGAGAGCAAGCGGACCUCAUAAAGUGCGUCGUAGUCCGGAUUGGAGUCUGCAACUCGACUCCAUGAAGUCGGAAUCGCUAGUAAUCGUGGAUCAGAAUGCCACGGUGAAUACGUUCCCGGGCCUUGUACACACCGCCCGUCACACCAUGGGAGUGGGUUGCAAAAGAAGUAGGUAGCUUAACCUUCGGGAGGGCGCUUACCACUUUGUGAUUCAUGACUGGGGUGAAGUCGUAACAAGGUAACCGUAGGGGAACCUGCGGUUGGA